GUAGGAUUUGUACCGAGCACAGGUCGGGACCAGAUGCAGCUUGGCUGGGGGGGCGGUGGCACCUGCCUUGCAAGCUCCAGGCAGGAGUUCAAAGUCCAGCACUGGAAAAAAGCUGGAACCCUGAAUGUGCGUCACCUUCACAGGGUUGUAAAGCGGAAGAAUUUACCGGGGAUCGAACCUAGGACCUUACACUUGCGAGGCAGGUGGCAGAACCCCCGAGUUAAAUCUCCUGGCCUAUUGGGUGUUUUGAGACAUGGUCUCACUACGUAGUCCAGGCUGGCUUUGAAGGACUCAUAUACUCUGACAACCGAAAUAAUGUGGCCCUUUUAUGACUGUUGUGAGGACCGGGUUAGAAGACACUGCAGAAAAAGUGAAGAGAAACAGUAAGUGUAAAACCUGGGCACAAGGAACGCUCUUGCACGUGUUAGUUGGGCGUUACCACACUCGAGCGUGAGCAGAGCCCUACACAUUUGCACACCUACGUUACUGUACAAGUAUGUGUUAGGGCAUUUAUCUUUCUACCUUGCUUGGCAGUUAUUUGUGUGAACUGUGGGCUCCUUUGAGGCAGAAAAAAAUAGGGUGCAGCCUGGGGAUUUAGCUCUGUGGUGCCACGCCUGUGCCACAG